CAAACAAGCAAUGAUAGUGGACUGCAGUUUCUGGGGUAUCACGCCCAUUUAAACUGAUGGUGCAAGUUCAGCAGUGUCAUCAAUGGAACAAAUAAAGUCUUGAUAACUAGAAGGCCAUUCCGAUUCCAGUAUGGUAAAUAUUCGAUGGAUGACAAAGGGUCCCGAGGGAGCUCGUUUGUGCUGACAACACUCAGCAUAUUCUGCAAAUAUCCUCUGAGUUCACCAUCCAUGAGUUGCAAGUCAUGUUUUCUGGUGCUACAAGUAUAAAAAGGUUCAUACUUUGUUUUAUUAACCUUUUGUGGUGUUGUUCCAAUACCUUUUGGAGUUUUGGCCUAAAAGGGUUCUCUGAAACACUGAGACAAACAAAGCUAAAAUUUGGAGUAUGAUUAAGCAGUCCAGUCAGCGUUACUAAUCCCCACUUGAGCUUGACUGUAUUUCCUGGCUUAAUGUUUGAUAUUCUAUGUAUAGCAAAAAUAUGUGCAGAAUUUCAUUUAAGUUUGAAAGCCAAUCGAUUCCAUGCUUUGAGCUGGAAA